rnacentral:misc_RNA from 1 species
AGGUGAGGGAUGAAAUUGAACAUUUAUUGGAUGACGAUGAAGAUAUGGCAAAUUUAUAUUUGACAAGGAAAUUGAUUCGGAAUGAGCAAUCCGAGGCUUUGUUGGGAGCGACAGCUUCAAAUAGUAUUGCAACUGCUGCAAGUGUGGUGGCUGGGAGCAUCUCAGAUGAUAAUCAUGUAGAGGAUUUGGAGAUGCUGCUUGAGGCUUAUUUUAUGCAGCUGGAAGGAACACGAAACAAGAUAACGUCUGUUCGUGAAUAUAUAAAUGACACAGAAGACUAUGUCAACAUCCAACUCGACAACAAGCGAAAUGAACUCAUUCAAAUCCAGUUGAUCUUAACCUCUGCAAUGGUUCCUAUAUCAUUGGAAUUUGCAAUGUGCGGGGCACUUAGCAUGAACAUUCCUUGUGUAUGGUAUAAUGUAAAUGGGAUAUUUGGCUAUGUUGUUGGAGGUAUGGCAGCAGGAGGUUUUUUGAUUUUCCUGCUGAUUGUAGGAUACGCUAGGUGGAAGAAGCUGCUUUGUUCAUGAGUCUUGACUCAUUGUCAAUUACAGAUGUAUGCUUCAUGCCUGAAAGUCGCUGGACUAAGCUUAUUUGCAUAUACCAGUAAAAGAAGUCAUUUAAAAUGUAUAUAAAAAGAUAUCAGCAACUGAUUUGUAUCAAAUUGGCUUUGAAUUUAAUUUUGAGAGAAUACAAUGAUGUGUUCAUGGCAAUGAAACUAGUCAGCCUUCUCUUUCCUUUUUUUCCCUUUUCUUUUUCCGCUCUUUUUGAGAUAAAUCCUCGAGGCCCCAGCACUAGCUGGAUUCAUUUUAUGGAUCUGCAAAUCAAGAAAGCAGCUACUGCAGGCCUGCUUCUUAUAAUUGAACAAUAAAAGAUAAUGUGUUUUACCUUGAAAUUCCAUCCUGAAAGAUCUUUGAACAACAGAGUCAAACACCUUGAUAAUCACCAGUAGUCACUACAAGAGCAAAUUCCAUCCUGAAAGUGAUGGAACCGAUUCAUAUCUCUGAUAAUUAUUUCUCGCUGCACAAUCUUUGAUAUGAACUUUAUUGCUGAAUGGCAGUCUGCACAUAUUCGGAGGUUUUUAAUGAUGCGAAUGUGGCCUGUAGAUGGUGUUCUAAUUAGACCAAAAGCUAAAGCUAGUCUUUCACUGUGUCCCCACAAACGGUGCUCCUUUUCAUCAUCUUCAACAUCAAGCAAAACAGCAUUAAGAUUGGGAACAUAACCUGCCUUCCUGGUUUUCAUGUUCAACCACUCGAGCAUCCCAUUAAUCAACUUCAUGUCAGGAUGUGAAAUAUCCCCCACAGAGAAAUAGUGAACACUGCCUUGGUUUUCAAUCCAACUUAAUCCUGGUUCUUUCUUUACUCCUUUCUCUUUCAUAGUUUUCCUAACAGAAGCUACAUUUUCCCAGCUCCUUGCUGCGGCAUACAUGUUUGACAAUAGCACAUGGGUUGCUUCAUCUUGAGGGUCAAUCUCAAGAAUACGUUGAGCAGAUAUUCUUCCAAUCUGAACAUCAUUAUGGAUCACACAAGCCCCCAGUAAGGCACGCCACACCAUAACACUGGGCUCAGAUGGGAUUUCUUCAAUCAACUUUAUAGCCUUAUUAAGAUGACCUGAUUUUCCUAAUAGCGAGACCAUACAAGUAUAGUGCUCCAUGCAUGGUUCGAUGCCAUAGUCCUGUACCAUAGAUUUGAAAUAAGUUUGUCCUAUAUCUAACAAUCCUGCACUGCUACAUGCAGAUAGGACACUGAGGAAUGUUAACUUGUUAGGUUUACAAGCUGUUUCCUGCAUCAUCUGAAAAACUUUUAGAGCUUCCCCACUUAGACCAUGCAUGGAAUAUCCCGAGAUCAUAGCAUUCCACGAAACUUCAUCACGUUCAUUAAGCAUGUCAAAUACUAAGCGUGCAUCUUUAAUGCUUCCGCACUUGGCAUACAUAUCAAUUAAAGCAUUACCAACCACAGUAUCCCUGUCGUAGAUGGUUUUCACCGACAAGGAAUGAAUCUGAAUUCCUGGUUCCAUGGCUGCUAAACUAGCACAAGCACAGAGAGCACUAGAGUAUGUCACUUCAGUAGCCUGAACUUGGCAUGCAAGCAUAUUUUUAAAUAAACUUAACGCCUUCUCUACAUCACCUGACUGCACAUAGGCAACAAUCAUCGUAUUCCAAGCCACCUCAUUUCUGUUUGGAGAUUCCAUAAAUAGUUCCAUUGAGUUUUCCACCCUUCCACAUUUAGCAUACAUAUCCAUUAGGGCAUUUGAAACAAAUACAUUAAUGCCCAGACCAGACUUAAAUACAUGGGAAUGUAAUUGUUUCCCUAAGUCAAGACUCUCCAUAGUUGCACAAGCUUGCAGCACACUGGCAAAUGUAAACUGAUUAGGAGGGAUAAAUGCUCGCCUCAUCUGACCAAACAGCUCGAGAGCCUCUUUGCUCUGGUUGCUCUGGGCAUAUCGUGCAAUCAUGAAACUCCAAGGAAUCACAUCAGUUUUGGGAAUCUCCUCAAAUACCGACAGAGCAGCAUGAGAUCCUCCAGACUUAGUAUACAAAUCAAGUAAGCCAAGACCCACAUAAAGAUCAAGUUCAUAACGAGUUUUUAAAGCACAACCAUGAACACCUUUCCCCACAUCAAAAGCCUCUAGUCCAAUGCAAGCUUUGAGCACACCAGUAAAAGUGAAAUGAUUAGGUCUGAAACCAGCCAUUCUCAUCUGUGAGAAGAGUUGCAAGGAAUCUUCAAAAUGAUCAUUCUCAGCAUAGCAAGCUACCAUCCCAGUCCAAGAAACCAUGUCCUUGUAAGCGAUGGCAUCAAAAACUUGUCUUGCACUGUCAACAUGACCACAAACAGAAUAGGCAUCAAUUAGAGCAGUCCCAACAAAGGCAUUAGAGUCAAGACCAAGCUUAAAAAUGCAAGCGUGGAUGCAAUAACCCAACUUUUCCCACUCCAUACCAAUUAUCAACUUCAAAAUUGUAGUAAAAACAAAAGGGUUAAGCUCAUGACCUUCUCUAUGUAACCGAAAAAACAACUCAAACGCCUCAACCAAUUGAAAUGACUGAGCGUAACCUUGAAUAAGAGUAACAAAAGAUAUCGUAUUUCUCUCAGGCAUUUCGUCGAAAAUUUUACUCGCAUCGGAUAAUGCAUCCGAUUUAACAUAGAAGUCGAGAAGAAUGUUGUGAGCAAACAAGUCUAGGCAAUUACCCUUCUUUAGAAUCUCACAAUGAAGAGUCUUUCCCACAAAGAGGUCACCGGUUUGGAUACAAUCUCGAAGCAUGGCACCAUAAGCAUAAGAAUCGAACUGUGGAAGAGACAUGCUUGACGGUUGGGCGAAUUGGGCUGCUUCGGCCGAGAACCCAAUUCGCCGGAAACAUUUCCAACAAUGCUUCGCAGAAUUUUCAAGUGCUUUAGCUUUUCUGGAAAACAAUCUGAUCAUGCAGAUUCAAUUACAACAAAUACCAAAUGAAAUUAUACAAUGCUAAUGACAUGAGAGACAAAUU